rnacentral:rRNA from 1 species
AGUGGCAAAAGGGGCAGUAAGGCAUAGGUAACCUACCCUGGAGUUGGGCAUAGCCGUUCUAACGAACGGGUAAUUCCCGAUGGCCCAGCGAGUGGACAUCCAUUUGCUGGUAAAGAGUUUCGCUCUGGGAGGGGCCUAUGUGCUAUUAGCUUGUUGGCGGGGUAACGGCCCACCAAGGCUAAGAUGGCUAGCGGGUGUGAGAGCACGACCCGCGCCACUGGCACUGAGACACUGGCCAGACACCUACGGGUGGCUGCAGUCGAGGAUCUUCGUCAAUGGGGGAAACCCUGAACGAGCGACGCCGCGUGCGCGAUGAAGGCCUUCGGGUUGUAAAGCGCGAAAGUGGGGACGAAAGCCGAAAGGUUUGACUGAUCCACAGUAAGCUCGGGCUUAGUUCGUGCCAGCAGCCGCGGUAAGACGAACCGAGCAAACGUUAUUCGGAAUCACUGGGCUUAAAGGGCGCGUAGGCGGGCAUCCAAGUCUAUGGUGAAAUCCGGCAGCUCAACUGUCGAACUGCCGUGGAUACUGGGUGUCUCGAGGGAGGUAGGGGCGUGCGGAACAGUGCGUGGAGCGGUGAAAUGCGUUGAUAUGCACUGGAACUCCGGUGGCGAAGGCGGUACGCUGGACCUCUUCUGACGCUGAGGCGCGAAAGCCAGGGGAGCAAACGGGAUUAGAUACCCCGGUAGUCCUGGCCCUAAAC